CUGUCUGGAAUUUUAGCCUAGAGUAGUAGUGCUGGUUCGGGCACCGUUAAAUUGGCUACUGCUGAAGUGAAGCAGUCACCUUAUGAGUACAAUCUGAUGGCUGCUUCUUUAACUAUCUCUCGUUCUGUUGAUGAAAUCCAAAAUCUUCUACUUUGUGGUGCUUGUAAUAAAACCAUCAACGAACCCAAGAUUUUGUCUUGCUCUCAUUCAUUCUGCAAAGCCUGUGUUGAGAACUUGGCGACACAAGACAAAGAAAACGUUGAUGGCGAAGGCAAGAAGUUGAACUGUCCAACUUGCAGAUCCACAACUACAUUGAAGCCGGACGAAAACGUCGCUGGAUUGCCCAAUCAUGAAUUUAUCCCAAAGCUGCUGACUGCCGUUGGUCCAAAUCGAACUCAAGGAGCUUCCGUUUGCUCUUACUGCCAAAAAGAGCCUUCGAUUACAAUAUGUAUGGAAUGUGAAAUGCUGGUGUGCCAUGAAUGUCAUAUGAUGCACGAGCGUUGGCCGCCGUUGCAAUGCCAUAUAAUGCUCUCCAUUGGUGAAAUAAUCAAUCGUGACGAGCAACAGAAAAUCGGAGCAGAAAAGUUAAGCUGCAGUAAACAUAAAGACGCCCUCCCGAAAUUUUAUUGUGAAACAUGUAAGGAACUGAUUUGUAUGAAAUGCAUGGCGUCUGUUCACACGAAACCAGGUCAUGCGUGCGUCGCGAUUCAUGAAAUCUAUCGAAAACAACAAGACGCUGUGAAGUCAAAAUGCGCGACCAUUAACGCAAUGUUACAGGAAGGAAAUAAGGUGGGUAUAGAAGAUAAUUCCAUACAAUGCUAACUUGUGGUGGUGGUUUACUUCAAUUGAU